UGGUUCCGGCAUCGAUGAAGAACGCAGCGAAAUGCGAUAACUAGUGUGAAUUGCAGAAUUCCGUGAAUCAUCGAGUCUUUGAACGCACAUUGCGCCCCCUGGUAUUCCGGGGGGCAUGCCUGUCCGAGCGUCAUUGCUGCCCAUCAAGCACGGCUUGU
rnacentral:rRNA from 1 species